AACGAACGCUGGCGGCAGGCGUAACACAUGCAAGUCGAGCGCCCCGCAAGGGGAGCGGCAGACGGGUGAGUAACGCGUGGUAACGUACCCUUUACUACGGAAUAGCUCCGGGAAACUGGAAUUAAUACCGUAUGUGCCCUUCGGGGGAAAGAUUUAUCGGUAAAGGAUCGGCCCGCGGUGGAUUAGCUAGUUGGUGGGGUAAAGGCCUACCAAGGCGACGAUCCAUAGCUGGUCUGAGAGGAUGAUCAGCCACAUUGGGACUGAGACACGGCCCAGACUCCUUCGGGGGGCAGCAGUGGGGAAUAUUGGACAAUGGGCGCAAGCCUGAUCCAGCCAUGCCGCGGGAGUGAUGAUGGCCUUAGGGUUGUAAAACUCUUUCACCGAUGAGGAUAAUGACAGUAACCGGAGAAGAAGCCCCGGCUAACUUCGUGCCAGCCGCCGCCGUAACAC
rnacentral:rRNA from 1 species